GGGUGGGGGAGGGGUUGAACCUGUUGUUAAUAAGUUGUAAAUCAGGUCAUUACUUUUUCUCAAUUCAAUUGUUGCGUAUUUAACAUGUCUGGACUGUUUUCUUUCUCUUUUUUGAAGGCUGUAUAGUUGCCUAUAUUUACUUUGUUAUUUGAACCUCUGUGGAUAGUCGUUUCAUUGGCAAUCAUACAACAUAUACUUUGUUCUAUAUGGAUUGCAGACCUGAAAAAGAUGUUCAAAGUUGAAUAUUCUGCAAACUUCAAAC
rnacentral:lncRNA from 1 species